GUGGGGAUUCCGAAAACCCAACAACAGAGUAGGAA
ncrna:Microscilla marina ATCC 23134 DTF805b RNA